rnacentral:rRNA from 1 species
AAUGAACGUUGGCGGCGUGGAUUAGGCAUGCAAGUCGAGCGCUCAUAGCAAUAUGGGAGCGGCGAACGGCGUAGUAAUAUGUAGGAACGUACCCUCGGGUCGGGGAUAGCCAUGGGAAACUGUGGGUAAUACCCGAUAAUCUCUGCGGAGCAAAGGUGUGAUUCCGCCUGAGGAGCGGCCUACACGAUAUUAGCUAGUUGGUAGGGUAAUGGCCUACCAAGGCUACGAUGUCUAGGGGGUGUGAGAGCAUGGCCCCCCACGACCGGAACUGAGAUACUGUCCGGACACCUACGGGUGGCUGCAGUCGAGAAUCUUCCGCAAUGGACGAAAGUCUGACGGAGCGACGCCGCGUGCGGGAUGAAGGCCCUUGGGUUGUAAACCGCUGUCAGAGGGGAGUGAAAUCUUCGGAGGUGCUCCUCCAAAGUUGACAGAGCCUCAAAGGAAGCACGGGCUAAGUAACGUG